rnacentral:rRNA from 1 species
UACAGAGGUCCCAAGCGUUGUUCGGAUUCACUGGGCGUAAAGGGUGCGUAGGGGGUCUGCAAAGUCGGGUGUGAAAUCCCACCGCUUAACGGUGGAAUGGCACUCGAUACUGGCGGGCUAGAGGAUCGGAGGGGAGAGCGGAAUUCCUGGUGUAGCGGUGAAAUGCGUAGAUAUCAGGAGGAACACCAACGGCGAAAGCAGCUCUCUGGAAGAUACCUGACCCUGAGGCACGAAGGCCAGGGGAGCAAACGGG